AGCAGGAUUAGGUGAGCUGUGAUUGACAGCUGAUAUAACCUAUCAGGAAGGGGCAGUCCCUUUUUAAGUGCUGAUUGGCUGCUCCUUGGAAUACGUCAUGUCCUGUGUUUCCCCAGGGUGUUUGUAACGAUAGCGACAGUGUGUCGUUUGUCCAGCGUGCUGGUGCCUUUCUACGUGUAGUGGUACAUGACUGUGUAACCUCAGUUGGCUGCUGGUUGAUCUGCUGUGGGUUAAACUACGCCGUAAAACUGUAAUUUGUCUGGGGUGAUACCACUAUUCGGGUUCUCCCUUUUGUUCUACGUCCUGUUCCUCGUGAGUGUUUGAUUCUUGUGCUGCUGAGUAGCAUCGCUGUAACACCGACUUCAUCCUCCCCGCUGUAUGCUGGACUUUACACUGUCUGGUUCCUAAGUUUCAGGGUUGAAUUUUAAGAUCCGAGUGAAGGAGUGUCCGGUGCAUUUGGAGUUGACAAAUGGACUGUGGCGUUCGCGCAGUGUAGCUUCCCUUGCCGUUUACCCCUUUUGUUUCUUUUCUUUAUUUGUAUAUCAUUUUUGUCUGAAUAUUUGUAUAUUGUUUAUACUUUUAGGAGCUGAGGUUCCCACGGGUGGAUGGAUCUUGUGGUGGUGGUGGUAACGUUUCAACGUUUACCGUGUUACACAUUUUUGAAGUGUAUAAGUGUGUGCUUUGAGUUCACCGUGUGGUGUGAAAUUGUGCUUGUGGAUAACUUGCGCCAGUGAUCACUCCGGUGGGUAGCCUCAGCCCUGUAGGUUGGUACUGUGUUUAUUUGUUUGUGUAUUUGAUUUGUUGCCGGUCAUUGCAUUUUAGCAGUGAGGGCAUUUUAUAUAAUGUUGUACGUGGUGUUGUUUUUUUGUAUAAUUCUGUUUUGUGAUUAAUGUGAUAUGUAAUGUUUUGUGUCUUUAUUGUUAAAGUGUGACAGCUGGAGACCUGUU